AAAUAAUUUUUAUCUCUUUUUUUUUGGAGAGAUGGCCGAGAGGAUUAAAGCGUCGGAUUGCUAAUCC
rnacentral:tRNA from 1 species